UUAAUGUUUUAGACCGAAGCCGGAUCGGACUCGUUUACGGCUAUCUACCCUCAGACAGUCAGACCCCGGCCCCUGAUUCCGUUUGAUUUUGGCUUCAAAACCUUGAUCUUCCCCCCAGAUUCCUCGAUCAUGGCUUUCGUCUAAGUCUUGUUUGAGUUAUUUCAAUCUUUCUCCAGAACCCAUAAACACCCUCUCGUUGAUUUCACAAGGUCCAACGGGAAUCUUAUCGUCCUUUUUGCCUUACUUGGAUUUUGUACUUGUCUCUGGUGAUUUCGACUCUUUGUUGGGUGUUUGUCGUCUGAAAUUCUCUUGGGUUUUCGUACUAUCGAUCGGCAUGUUGGUUGGCGCCUUAAGAGCUGUAACUGUUGCCGGAGCCUUAGAAUAUUCACAUAUAGCUAACAAACAAAGUAAUGAAGGAGUCACAGUGGCUAUUUGGGGAGAGCAUGGACUGGAAUUUGAUCUUGACAGAGUAUUGAGUUACCACCUCCAGUUUUUAUAGUUGCCACUGGCGUCAGGACAUAUAUCAAAGUAUGAAGAAAUAACAGUUCCUUCAAUUAGAUCACCUCGAAUUCUUAUAGUGGCGACCUCCGUGAUCU